CUAUGGGGUGCAGCAGUUGCGAAAACUCCGCAAUGCGCGAAAGCGUGACGGGGCUACCCCGAGUGCCGCCCGUUGAGGGCGGCUUUUCCACGGUGUAAGGAGCCGUGGGAAUAAGGAGAGGGCAAGACUGGUGUCAGCCGCCGCGGUAAUACCAGCUCUCCGAGUGGUGGGGACGAUUAUUGGGCUUAAAGCGUUCGUAGCCGGCUUAACAAGUCUUCCGUUAAAUCCAACGAUCUAAUCGUUGGGCUGCGGGAGAUACUGUUGGGCUAGGAGGCGGGAGAAGCCGACGGUAUUCUCGGGGUAGGGGUGAAAUCCUGUAAUCCCGGGAGGACCACCAGUGGCGAAGGCGGUCGGCUAGAACGCGCUCGACGGUGAGGGACGAAAGCUGGGGGAGCGAACCGGAUUAGAAACCCGGGUAGUCCCAGCUGUAAACGAUGCGGGCUAGGUGUUGGGGUGGCCACGAGCCACUUCAGUGCCGCAUGGAAGCAAUUAAGCCCGCCGCCUGGGGAGUACGGCCGCAAGGCUGAAACUUAAAGGAAUUGGCGGGGGAGCACCACAAGGCGUGAAGCUUGCGGUUUAAUUGGAGUCAACGCCGGGAAACUUACCGGGGGCGACAGCAGUAUGAAAGCCAGAUUGAAGGUCUUGCUGGACGAGCUGAGAGGUAGUGCAUGGCCC
rnacentral:rRNA from 1 species